rnacentral:rRNA from 1 species
GACGAACGCUGGCGGCGUGCUUAACACAUGCAAGUCGAACGGUGAAGCGAGUGCUUGCACUCGUGGAUCAGUGGCGAACGGGUGAGUAACACGUGAGUAACCUGCCCAUCACUCUGGGAUAAGCACUGGAAACGGUGUCUAAUACUGGAUACGACCAACCCUUGCAUGGGGUGUUGGUGGAAAGAUUUAUCGGUGAUGGAUGGACUCGCGGCCUAUCGGCUUGUUGGCGGGGUAAUGGCCCACCAAGGCGACGACGGGUAGCCGGCCUGAGAGGGUGACCGGCCACACUGGGACUGAGACACGGCCCAGACUCCUACGGGAGGCAGCAGUGGGGAAUAUUGCACAAUGGGCGAAAGCCUGAUGCAGCGGCGCCGCGUGAGGGAUGACGGCCUUCGGGUUGUAAACCUCCUUCAGCAGGGAAGAAGCGAAAGUGACGGUACCUGCAGAAGAAGCACCGGCUAACUACGUG